GCGGGAGUGGUGAAAUGGCAGACACGCAGGUCUUAGGAACCUGUGACUUCGGUCGUGUGGGUUCAAGUCCCACCUCCCGCACCA
rnacentral:tRNA from 3 species